CAUGUUUUUUUACUUCUGUCUGCCAGAGACCGUCGUUCUCUACUGAAUAUGUAACUGAAGGCUGAAGCCACAGAAAAUAAAUAAAUAUAUUUAAUCAUCCAUGGUAAAGCUCAGUCAUCAGUGUCACAGUGUGCCGAAAAUGGCGACGAAUUUUGCCGAAGGGACCGAUGAAGAAAUGUAUAAUUUUAAAGACAGAAUUUCAAGGCAACACCAGACAGUGAGGGUGCAUGCCAACAGUCACAAGUUCUAGCAGGACAGGCCUCACAACCCAAAGCCAUCACCUUUCGGCAUUGGCAUUGCCGAUGUUUGUUGUCAAGUUCCUGUCAAAACACACUCGAGUCCUGAAUCUACA
rnacentral:misc_RNA from 1 species